ACGGAGCAACGCCGCGUGAGUGAAGAAGGCCUUCGGGUCGUAAAGCUCUGUUGUUAGGGAAGAACAAGUACCGGAGUAACUGCCGGUACCUUGACGGUACCUAACCAGAAAGCCACGGCUAACUACGUGCCAGCAGCCGCGGUAAUACGUAGGUGGCAAGCGUUGUCCGGAAUUAUUGGGCGUAAAGCGCGCGCAGGCGGUUCCUUAAGUCUGAUGUGAAAGCCCCCGGCUCAACCGGGGAGGGUCAUUGGAAACUGGGGAACUUGAGUGCAGAAGAGAAGAGCGGAAUUCCACGUGUAGCGGUGAAAUGCGUAGAGAUGUGGAGGAACACCAGUGGCGAAGGCGGCUCUUUGGUCUGUAACUGACGCUGAGGCGCGAAAGCGUGGGGAGCAAACAGGAUUAGAUACCCUGGUAGUCCACGCCGUAAACGAUGAGUGCUAAGUGUUAGAGGGUUUCCGCCCUUUAGUGCUGCAGCUAACGCAUUAAGCACUCCGCCUGGGGAGUACGGCCGCAAGGCUG
rnacentral:rRNA from 1 species